CAGCAGCCACGGUAAUACGUAGGGUGCGAGCGUUAAUCGGAAUUACUGGGCGUAAAGCGUGCGCAGGCGGUUUUGUAAGACAGAGGUGAAAUCCCCGGGCUCAACCUGGGAACUGCCUUUGUGACUGCAAGGCUAGAGUACGGCAGAGGGGGAUGGAAUUCCGCGUGUAGCAGUGAAAUGCGUAGAUAUGCGGAGGAACACCGAUGGCGAAGGCAAUCCCCUGGGCCUGUACUGACGCUCAUGCACGAAAGCGUGGGGAGCAAACAGGAUUAGAUACCCCCGUAGUCCCUGUCUCUUAUAC
rnacentral:rRNA from 1 species